rnacentral:tRNA from 1 species
GCGGCUGUCGUAUAACGGUUAUUACCCUAGCCUUCCAAGCUAGAGACGACGGUUCGACUCCGUUCAGCCGCU